rnacentral:misc_RNA from 1 species
UUUCCGUAGGUGAACCUGCGGAAGGAUCAUUCAUAAUCAAGUGUUUUAUGGCACUUUUUAAAAAUCCAUAUCCGGCUUGUGUGCAAUGUUAGAUCUCGUCAAUCUUGGCGAGAUUUUUAUACAUCAACUCAUUCUUUAGCUAAUUUGUCUGAAAAAUAUUAUGCAUACUUAAUUCAAAAUACAACUUUCAACAACGGAUCUCUUGGCUCUC